rnacentral:rRNA from 1 species
GACGAACGCUGGCGGCGUGCUUAACACAUGCAAGUCGAACGAGACGAUUGAAAGCUUGCUUUUGAAAGUCGAGUGGCAAACGGGUGAGUAACGCGUAGACAAUCUGCCUUUGAGCUGGGGACAACAGUUCGAAAGGACUGCUAAUACCGAAUGUUGUAUAUUUUUCACAUGGAAGAUAUAUUAAAGAUGGCCUCUAUUUAUAAGCUAUCGCGCAAAGAUGUGUCUACGUCUGAUUAGCUGGUUGGUGGGGUAACGGCCUACCAAGGCGACGAUCAGUAGCCGGUCUAUGAGGAUGAACGGCCACAUUGGGACUGAGACACGGCCCAGACUCCUACGGGAGGCAGCAGUGGGGAAUCUUCCACAAUGGACGAAAGUCUGAUGGAGCAACGCCGCGUGAGUGAAGAAGGGUUUCGGCUCGUAAAGCUCUGUUGUCGGGGACGAAUGUGCAGUAUUUGAAUAAAGUACUGUAAUGACGGUACCUGACGAGGAAGCCACGGCUAACUACGUGCCAGCCGCCGCCGUAA